UUGUUUUUGGGGGUGAUGGUCCCAACCGUUUAGGAAUUAGGGGCCCAAAAAGGGCCCAAAACAAGCAUUUUUAUAGUUUCAGGACAAUAACUUGUGUAUAAGUAUUGUGAUUGCUCUGAAAUUGUACCACAAGGUUCAAUACCACAAGUAGAAGGUUGGGAUUCAUUUUGGGGGGAGUUGCCCAAACUGUUCAGGAAUUAGGGGCCAAAAAGGGUAUAAAACAAGCGUUCUUUUAAUUUUCAGGCAAUAACUUGUGUUUUUAAAAGUGUAAAAAUUUCUUCAAAUGUAUUUUUUUUUCGAAUAAAGGGGGGGGGUGAAAAUAAUUUUAGGGGGUCAAUUGUUUGACCUUAAGAUUUAAGAAAUUGUCAAUUUUCCAAAGAAAAAUUGGGGGUCACAAUUUAUUUUGCUAAUUCUUUGUAUAUAGUCUGAAAACAGAUUUACUAAGUAUUGUGCAAUAGCACAGUCAUGACAGUGUAUUGCACAAAGCAAGAAAUCUUCAAGUGAAUAUAAAUUCAAAU
rnacentral:lncRNA from 1 species